AAGCUUGUCGAAACCCUAGCUAGCGCGAGGGCGGCGGAAGCGGCGGCGGCGCGGCGCGGAGGCGGUGGCGAGGGCACGCAGCGGGAAGGCGGCGGCGAGGAUGCGCGCGCAGCGAGGAGGCGGCGGCCUCGGGCCCGCGGUGCGCGACAGUGCGAGGCGGCAGCGGCCGAGAGCGUGCGCCGACGCCUUCUCCCAGGAUGGUGGCUGUCGCGUCGAGGGCCAGCCGGCGCCCGCUCUCAGGAGGUCCACAACCAGCGAUCGCGACUCUUCCAUGCAAAGCCCCGUGAGAUCUCCGGCCACCGCCGCCACUGCCAUGGACGCCGUCGACUCGGUGGUCGACUCGCUGCGCGAGUUCGCCAAGGACAGCAUCUGCCUCGUCAAGCACUGCCACAAGCCCGACCGCAAAGAGUUCACCAAGGUGGUGGCGUGUAUGCUGCAGAAGUAUCAGACGCAUUGAGAGCCUUAUCAGACACGGCUCGAGAGCCUUAAACUUACUGUG
rnacentral:lncRNA from 1 species